rnacentral:lncRNA from 1 species
AAUUUUAUGUUGUACAUGAAUAUAAUCAUCAUUUAAAUGAGAUGUUUACAUAUGAAGGUAAAUAUUAUCACAAUCUAAAGGUAAUAAAACUGUUAAAAGAUUAAGAUUUACGCUAUUUCAGGACCAAAUUGUAUCGAUAAAUUUUGCCAAGUGCUUCGAUUGAAAACCAUGGGACUUUAUGAAAACUACUGGAAAUCCGCUAAAAAACCAAUCUACGAGUUCAACAUUUGGGAUGAGGACUAUCAGGAACAUGGAGAGUGCUAUGCCUGUGAUGAGCCCAUUUCGACUGACGACCGGGAGAAGUUUUUUAACCAAUUCACAGGUCAAUAUGUAGGUCCUAUUCAUAAGGUUUGUAAGGAUC